GGCCUCCCCACCCUCCUGACUUCCUUGGUUGAUCCUGUGCAGAAGUCGAUAGCUUAUCUCCACGCAGCAACCAGAAAGUGAGAUGGUUCUAUGUAUGGCACUAAAGAUGCCCUAAAUGAGUUCCCACUCCAUGCACCUGGGAGAGAGUUUUCCUUCCCCUCAGUCCUGUUUCCAGUUACCACGGUGGGCAAGUUUUGCCUAAUAUGCUUGUGGGUGGGAAGGAAGGAUAUUCCAGAAGAAUAAAAGGUAGUAUAAAGAGA